CGAAGCGGUGGAGUAUGUGGUUUAAUUCGAUGCAAACGCGAAGUAACCUUACCUGGUCUUGACAUCCGGAAAUCCCUGGAAACUUGGGAGUGCUUCAUUAGGAAGAAUCCGGAGACAGGUGCUGCAUGGCUGUCGUCAGCUCGUGUCGUGAGAUGUUGGGUUAAGUCCCGCAACGAGCGCAACCCUUGCCUUUAGUUGCCAGCAGUUCGGCUGGGCACUCUAAAGGGACUGCCGGUGUCAAACCGGAGGAAGGUGGGAUGACGUCAAGUCCUCAUGGCCUUUAUGACCAGGGCUACACACGUACUACAAUGGCCGAUACAAAGGGCAGCGACAUCGCGAGGUGAAGCCAAUCCCAUAAAAUCGGUCUCAGUCCGGAUUGGAGUCUGCAACUCGACUCCAUGAAGUUGGAAUCGCUAGUAAUCGUGGAUCAGCAUGCCACGGUGAAUACGUUCCCGGGCCUU
rnacentral:rRNA from 1 species